GACUCAUCUUGGCUGAGACGCAUUCAGUUGGCAUCACUUGCUUGGGGGCUCCAGAACCGGAACGAGCCACAACAGUUAGCUGAAUCUGUGUGGGGUGGCAGCCAAGUGUGACCCUAGAGGCAAAAGAACACACAUUUGAAGGGCGCGCGCGCACGACUUCAGGCAACCGUGCCAUCCAUUCACCUGAUGUGCGACAGUGAUCACAUCAAGUAUAUGUACGCGCACGCAUGCGUCCACAUCACAUCCACACAUCACGCAACACGCACUCUGCCUGGACUUACCCUCUUUUAGCGUUGCCAUCUUUUCGUCGGUGUGCCGUUAACAGUUAAUAACAAAAAACAAACAAAACAAAAACUAGCAUAAAAAACAAUCGCCUUUGAUCAACUUUUUUUUGCGUUGUUUAUUUGACUAUAAACAAGCUUAAGAUUUCGGGAUUGGUUACUGUUCAAACAACCAACAGUUGGCGGAUAUUUCAUAAAACAAAGCCAAGCAAUUACGGAAUUACACCAGAGCUUUAUAUUUCGGUUGGUUUAUUUGUUGUGAAAACGAUGCGUAAUGUUUGGUGUUUGGAUUAACUUGAUAUUGGUGCGCGGAGCCCUCAGAAAGUAAUGGAGCCAAGCGCGCGAUCGUACCCUGACUGCGCCAGGUCGAGCGCACAAAACGUGCAUGAAGCGUCGGCGGCAAUGCCAUGGCAGCGCAACAACAACAACCAGGGCCGCUUUGUAAACUGGCAAACCAGUGAUCGGAUCGGCAACAGGGGCGGAUCCAACGCAAGCGGCGAGGGGGCGAAAAAAAUGAUGUUAUCUUAGCGCUCCUUUACUAAAACUAGCAUAUUUUUAUAUCAUUUCUUUUUUUGUCAAAAACUGACUGCUAUGAAAACAAUCGUUUACAAAUAAAAAUCAGUGGACUAUA